AUGAACAUCGCCCUCCUUGCUCGAUGGCUUUGGCGGAUCUCUAGUGGUGAGGGUGGUCUUUGGCUGCAGAUUAUCCAGAAUAAAUAUCUUCGCGGCCACCCCCUUGCUUUCUGCCAACGGACUGGUGGCUACCAGUUCUGGCAAUCCAUCAUACAUCUGCUUCUCGUACUCCGGAUUGGGACCUCCAUUGUGAUAGGAACGGGCUCUAGUACCCUAUUCUGGUUCGAUAGGUGGGCGGGCGACGCCCCCUUUGUUGCCCGCUUCCCGGAUUUCUUCGCCAUCGUUGUGGACCCUCGCGUCUCCGUAAAGACGGCCCUUAUUGACAUAGGGCGCCUCGCCUUCAGGCGGCCCUUUGGGCCCCUGGAAGUGAAUGCAUGGCAUGAGCUCCUGGACACUGUUGCUCUGCAUGAGCCGGACCUCACGCGACCCUAG
rnacentral:rRNA from 1 species